rnacentral:rRNA from 1 species
GAUCAUGGCUCAGGAUAAACGCUGGCGGCGCACAUAAGACAUGCAAGUCGAACGAACUUAAUCGAUUCUUUUAGAUUCGAAGCGGUUAGUGGCGGACUGGUGAGUAACACGUAAGCAACCUACCUAUUAGAGGGGAAUAACAGUGAGAAAUCACUGCUAAAACCGCAUAUGCCGUGAAUAUCGCAUGGUAAAAACGGGAAAAGAGCAAUCUGCUAAUAGAUGGGCUUGCGUCUGAUUAG